UACGUAGGGACCAAGCGUUGUUCGGAUUUACUGGGCGUAAAGGGCGCGUAGGCGGCAAUUCAAGUCAUCUGUGAAAUCUCCGGGCUUAACUCGGAACGGUCAGGUGAAACUGCUUUGCUAGAGUGCGGAAGGGGCAAUCGGAAUUCCUGGUGUAGCGGUGAAAUGCGUAGAUAUCAGGAGGAACACCGGUGGCGAAGGCGGAUCUCUGGGCCAUUACUGACGCUGAGGAGCGAAAGCGUGGGGAGCGAACAGG
rnacentral:rRNA from 1 species